rnacentral:rRNA from 1 species
AAUAGAUACCCGGGUAGUCCACGCUGUAAACGUUGGGCGCUAGGUGUGGGGGGCCUCUCCGGUUCCCUGUGCCGCAGCUAACGCAUUAAGCGCCCCGCCUGGGGAGUACGGCCGCAAGGCUAAAACUCAAAGGAAUUGACGGGGGGCCCGCACAAGCGGCGGAGCAUGCGGAUUAAUUCGAUGCAACGUGAAGAACCUUACCUGGGUUUGACAUGGCCGCAAAACUCGCAGAGAUGUGAGGUCCUUCGGGGGCGGUCACAGGUGGUGCAUGGCUGUCGUCAGCUCGUGUCGUGAGAUGUUGGGUUAAGUCCCGCAACGAGCGCAACCCUCGUUCGAUGUUGCCAGCGCGUUAUGGCGGGGACUCAUCGAAGACUGCCGGGGUCAACUCGGAGGAAGGUGGGGAUGACGUCAAGUCAUCAUGCCCCUUAUGUCCAGGGCUUCACGCAUGCUACAAUGGCCGGUACAAUGGGCUGCGAUACCGUGAGGUGGAGCGAAUCCCAAAAGCCGGUCUCAGUUCGGAUCGGGGUCUGCAACUCCG